rnacentral:piRNA from 1 species
UAGUCAGGAACAGAUCUAGUGAAGCCAGC